rnacentral:misc_RNA from 1 species
UUUCCGUAGGUGAACCUGCGGAAGGAUCAUUAAUGAGUUGUCAUGGGGUUCGAUGCUGGCAGCCAAUUUUUGGAUGCAUGUGCUUGCCCUAACAAUCAUCUUCCAAACACCUGUGCACAUUUUUGAGGGAGUCUUGAGUUGGUUGCCACUCUUGGGUGAUUUUCUCACAUUCCCUUAAAUCAUUAUACGCUAUUAACAAUGUUGAACGUGCUCUGUGCCGCAAGGCUAUUAAUAUAAUACAACUUUUAACAACGGAUCUCUUGGCUCUC